UAAUUAUCUCCUAGGGUACGAAAAACGACUAUGAGAAAGCCUGGUCACCAUUUACUCUCCUUCGGACGAUCACCACCGGAGAAAAAUUAUCGCCGCUUGUCCUCUCGCAUUUGUUUCGUUUCAGUAGACGACCUAUGUGGUGGCUUUUGAGAGUUAUAAAGAGAACACAUCAAUUCUAAUUGUAUGGAAGCUCACUGAGUACAAUCAUGCCGGUGUAUUGGAACGUGAGCUAGUGAGCAUUAUGUAAUGAAUUGGAUCUUUGACUUUGUGUUGAACAGACAACAUGGAUUUCCGAGUAGAUUUGGUACCCUUUGGAAUGACAAAAUUGCAUUUGAGGAAAAGGUGUUGGUUACAACUGUUGCUACAUGGGCCAGAGAGUUUCUGAAAAUUUUUAUGAAUGAUGUGGUUGUCUAAAAGUGCAUAUAAGUGAGAAUGAAGGAUACUUCUUGUGUUUUGCUUUUAAGUGAGGUUGGAGGAUAGCUGCAACACUUGAUUAUUGGAUAAUACUUCUGCAUGGGAAAACAAUUUUAUUUUUGAAUUUAUUUAUGUAAGUUUUAUGUACUAUGAAAUGACCAAAUCAAUGAGUUUUUAGCAACACUUAAGCUUGUUUUUAUCGAUGACUAUAAUGAUUGGUUAUUUAGCAUAUUUAUAUUAAUAUAAUUUGUUCAUCAAUGCAUAA